GUGUGUACCAGAAGGGGCUUGCUUCGUAAGAAGUUUUCACUUCUAUCGGCACUCCCACGAGUGCUCUAAUUUUGUUUUAAUUAGAAGAGUGUAAAUGCAUAUUAUAACAUAAUUUUUAAUUACAAACAACUUUUCUUAAUAACAAUUUUUGAUAUUGUGAACUAUAAAGGCACUUUACUCUUGAGCGAAAUUCAUAUUUUUGGACAUACCUCGUAUAUUAUUGAUAAAAUUUGAUAUCUGAUGACUGCAUCUUAGAUUUUAGACUAUGCAGAGCACUUUAUGAAGAAUAACUUUUUUCGUAAAAUUGAUAUUAAAAAAGUUUCCCAUAUGAAGUUACGCAGGCACGCUGUAUGAAAAUUUAUUUAUAAUUUGCAUUUUUAGGUAUAUUUUGAACCAUAUUAAACAAGAAGCCACAUCUCGAUAAAAGGUGCCUUAUCGAAAAAAUACUAAGAGGCAAAAAAGAUUUAAAAAUAUGGUGUUUAACUAAUGGAACCACAAUAAUAGUUGAAUUGGAACGUACACAAAAGUUUGGAGGGGGGGUAAGGGAACAAUAGCGCAUAAAAUUUUUAUGGGGUGUCCAAAUUUCACUGUCGUUUUUUUAAGAUGUUCCCAUAGGAAUGCCGCAUGACAAUUUUCAAUAAAAAAUUCCUUCGGUAUAUGAAAAAAAUCAAAUUUCAUUUCGUAACUUCAAAGCUGUAAACUAAAGGUUGUAGCUUUUUUGUGUGCACUUUGAUCCCAGAAUCUGUGGUAUAAUUUAUGCCGAAUCUUUUCGGGACACCCUGUAUACUAACACUACGUUAUACAAUAAUUUUAUUUGCCAGAAAAUACGCAACAUCUGGGGGGUCCUGGGAAUUUGGACUGUAGAGACAUAAACAUGCAAAUUAGUAAAUGGAAAAUGAGCAUAAAUAAGAACUAGUUUCACCUAAAAAAAUGUUUUGAUUGGUAUAAACCACGAUGAGCGAUGUAAUUAUUAAAAACAAUAUAUAUUAUUUUCUUAUAAAUAUAUUAAGUAUAAGCCAUUCUCAAACAAUAAAAUACUUACAUACCUAAUACUUUAAAUUGAUGUUUUCUUGUUUUAACAAAUAUUUAUGAAAUUAAAAAAAAAUAUGUUUACACAAUUUUCAGUUAAUAUCGGUAAAUUUACUACUAUGUUUUAACAAAAAUAGGCAAUACAAGUAAUAUAGUUAACAGCUAGCUAAUUAUUUUAAGAUUAAAACAACAUUGAACUAUCUUACUAUCACCACAAAAUCCAUUAUUUUUUUUCUAUCGGUUUUAAGUCUUUCGUUUACAGAAAAAUACAAUAUUAUGUACUUAUUUAUAAACACUCGUGACAUAAUAAUAAUAACAGCUAUACAUAACUGGGUAACAAUUUUGUUGUUUAUUGAUAUUAAAAUUUAAAAAACAGCCAAACAGCCAAAGAGGUAACAAAAAAAAAAUAAUAGUAAUACUAAGAAAUUUUCCAUGGAAUAUAACUUUCCUUAAUAAAAUUAAAGAUGUAUAAAAAAUAAAAAGGCGCAAAAUAGAGAAGAGAGAUAAGUUCCAAUACCUACUAUAAAUAAAAUAUUAAAUAUUAUGUACAUGUGGCAAUAUUAAAAAUCAAAUAACAUUAUUAAAGUUUCAGUUUAAAUUUAUUGAAUAAAUUUGUUUUUUAUGUUAUUGUUUGGUGUUUCUUUUUCUCUUUAUUAGGAUUUAAUAGAGCAAGUGUCAUAUUCUUUGGUUAUUCUUUCAUGGUACUAAAAAUGUAUUCCUUUGAUGAUUAUAUCAACAGAAACUGCUCAUAUAGCUGUACGGAAUCAGCAAAGGAUUAAACAGAUAAAAAAAAAUAGAAAUUAACGGAUCCAGCAUUGAACAGAUUACAGAAAUUAACUAUUUAGGCAUCACAGUAUCAAGUUACGGUGAUGUAGAAGAAGAGGUAAAAAAGAACCAAUACAGAAAGUCAAUGAAGCAGCAGAAUAUCUAAACAAUACAAUAUGGAGGGACACACACAUUAGAAUGGAAACUAAGUAAUAUUUAACAUCAAAGAAUCGAUGGUGAAGUAAAGAAUAACGGUCAACCACUUCAAUAAAUUUCCAAAGUAGUAGCUUACCUUUGCUACAAAAUAACUAACAUUUUAUUUAGAAAAUUUUAUACAAAAUAACUAACAUUUUAUUUAGAAAAUUAUCACGUUAUACAAAAAAGAACGACUCUUUAAUUAUAAGAGAAUUCUUAUUGUACCUAUAUGUUACGCUCAAACUCCGAAUUCGGAUAAUGCACGAAAUUAUUACUCACUUCGCGAUGUGGACAACGUGAAUUACCUACGUCGCGCGUCGCGGAGUGAUCAUUUUAUUCGGACAUUGGUCGAAGCAAAAUAACUAGAACGCGUUAUGGGUAAACGAAAGCACUCAAUUGCCGAAAUAAACACGUUCACUGGAGAUUAAGCAAACCAUAAUAACUCGACGUGGGUAAUCUAUUUUACCCACGUCGCGUCGGGUUGUAGGUAUUAAUAAUUUGCGCAAAUGCCGAAAAGCUUCCAAACACAAUCAUACCCUACACUAAUUACAUAAUAAAAAGUAAAAUAAAAUCAAAUUUUUCUUGAAAUUCAGUAAAAUACAACAAGUAUCUUAUUAUUGAAAAUAGAAAAAAAAUAAUUAAACGUUUUCAUUACAUGUACCUAGGUCUUUUUAAUACAUGUAGGUACCACUUUCAAUGUAUAUUACAGUUCUUUUCAGAAAAUAUUCACUUUAUUUGUUAGCACAAGAAGUGCUACAGUGACAUUUGGAAUUGCAUUUUAAGUUUGAUUUUACACAUUUGCAAGAUUUGCUCGAACAGUUCUUCUUGCAUCCACAUCCAAUGAAAUCUUGUUUGGACCCGGAUGACAUCAUUGCUUCUAUACGGACAUGUAUUUUAAUAUUUAUUUUUUUGUCCUUUUUUGUUUUAUUUAAAAUAAAUUGAAUUUCAAGGAAAAUUUGAUUUUAUUUUACUUGUUAUUAUGAAAUUAACGUAGGGUAUGUUUGUGUUUGGAAGCUUUUCGGAGUUUGCGCAAAUUUCAAAUACAUACAACCCGACGUGUGUAAAAUAUAUUACCCACGUCGGGUUAUGGGUAUUAUGGUUUUGCUCAAUUUCCGUUGAACGUGUUUAUUUCGACAAUUGAGUACUUUCGUUUACCCACAACAUGUUCUGGGUAUUUCGCUUCGGCCAAUGUCCGAAUAAAAUGCUCACUCCGAGACGUGGAUAAUUCACAUUGUCCACAUCGCGAAGUGAGUAAAAAUUUCGGGCAUUGUCCGAAUUCGGAGUUUAAUGUAACAUAUACAUCAAUGUGGAUCUAAAGAUCAAAAUACUGAAGUGAUUUCCAUUCUGCUGUUAGGAGUAGAUUCCAUGAUUGCAAAACUCAAAGCUUUCAAAAUGUGACUUUACAGGAGAAUAUUGCACAUUAGUUGGAUGGAUCACUGACUGAAUAACGAGACUGUUAACGAAGAAUAAAGAAAGGUAAAUAUAAAUAGUAGAAUCAUUAAAAUGUGAACAGUAACGUAUUUCGCAUGUUUAAUAAGGCAUAUAAACGAGUCAAACUGAUUACUUUUACAAAACAACAUUUAUGAAACAAAAUUCAGAAAGAAAAAAGAAAUCCAGUUAGACGAACAUCGCGGAUUAUAAACCAAAGAUAGUAAUAUUCAUAAAAACCUGCACUAAGCGGAUACAGCACUCUAAAGCCGCGUAGCUAUUUCGCGAGGUGGCCGCACGCGGCCUGGCUCGCGAAGCAAACUUGGCAUUUGGCACGAGGCUUUAUCGCUUUGCCGCACGUAACAGUGUGGUAUACACUUUCCGCAGCAACGGCAACGAACAUGCCGCGCCCGGCAGCCUCGCGAAAUGGAGACGCGGCUUAAAGGAAGCAGUUAAUAAGAGUGCCUUCUCUUCCGAGCCAUGAACGAGCUAUUUCUUUUCUUUUUUUUUUGGUGUCCUUAUUGGUAAUUUUUUCUAGUUUAAAUUUGCAUAUAGAUCUUCUGUCAUAUUGUCAGUAGUUUUUUUCUCUUCCUCGAUAAAAUAAUAUUAUCUUUUACACAUAAUCUUAAGCUUUGGAAUUGCAAAAUAAAUUUUUACAAAAUAAGUUAUCAGCCAAUACAUCAGUAAAUAUCAGUAAAAUAUCAAUAUUAAUUCAGAAAAAAAUCAAAAUUCACUAAAUUUAAAAAGUGCACAACAGGAUGUAUAAAAGACCUCGUCAGAUACCAAGCCUUAUUGAAAUAUAUUCUGAUAUUUUUAGUCAUCCAUGGAGCUUAAACAUUAUGAAAAAUAAAGCUGAGUUUAACAAUUAUGAAGGGCAUAUGAAAUUCUC
rnacentral:lncRNA from 1 species